rnacentral:rRNA from 1 species
UACGGAGGGUGCAAGCGUUAUCCGGAUUUAUUGGGUUUAAAGGGUCCGUAGGCGGAUUAAUAAGUCAGUGGUGAAAGCCCUCAGCUCAACUGAGGAACUGCCAUUGAUACUGUUAGUCUUGAGUGAGGUUGCAGUGGCUGGAAUGUGUAGUGUAGCGGUGAAAUGCUUAGAUAUUACGCAGAACACCAAUUGCGAAGGCAGGUCACUAAGCCUCAACUGACGCUGAUGGACGAAAGCGUGGGGAGCGAAC